rnacentral:rRNA from 1 species
AGUGAACGCUGGCGGUAGGCCUAACACAUGCAAGUCGAACGGCAGCACAGUAAGAGCUUGCUCUUACGGGUGGCGAGUGGCGGACGGGUGAGGAAUACAUUGGAAUCUACUUUUUCGUGGGGGAUAACGUAGGGAAACUUACGCUAAUACCGCAUACGACCUACGGGUGAAAGCAGGGGAUCUUCGGACCUUGCGCGAUUGAAUGAGCCGAUGUCGGAUUAGCUAGUUGGCGGGGUAAAGGCCCACCAAGGCGACGAUCCGUAGCUGGUCUGAGAGGAUGAUCAGCCACACUGGAACUGAGACACGGUCCAGACUCCUACGGGAGGCAGCAGUGGGGAAUAUUGGACAAUGGACGCAAGCCUGAUCCAGCCAUACCGCGUGGGUGAAGAAGGCCUUCGGGUUGUAAAGCCCUUUUGUUGGGAAAGAAAAGCAGCAGGUUAAUACCCCGCUGUUCUGACGGUACCCAAAGAAUAAGCACCGGCUAACUUCGUG